UACGUAGGGUGCAAGCGUUGUCCGGAAUUAUUGGGCGUAAAGAGCUCGUAGGCGGUCUGUCGCGUCUGCUGUGAAAACUCAGGGCUUAACCCUGAGCUUGCAGUGGGUACGGGCAGACUAGAGUGCGGUAGGGGAGACUGGAAUUCCUGGUGUAGCGGUGAAAUGCGCAGAUAUCAGGGAGGGAACACCGGUGGCGAAGGCGGGUCUCUGGGCCGUAACU
rnacentral:rRNA from 1 species